rnacentral:rRNA from 1 species
AGCUCCAAUAGUGUAUAUUAAAGUUGUUGUGAUUAAAACGCUCGUAGUUGAAGGUACGAUAGAAGCUUUGUGGCAAAACCAGCUACUCUAUGAGAAGGUGGGAGUGUCGCGGAAACAAGUUUCAAGGAAGGCACACCGUUUGGGUGGGAUUACUUUGAAAAAAAUAGAGUGUUUAAAGCAAAACAUUUUGUUAAUGAAUAAUGAAGCAUGGGACAAUAAGAAGGAGAUCUGUAGAGAUUUCGAGAAAAGGAUUAAGAGGAAUAAUUGGGGUGAUUUAGAAAAAUACGGGAGAGGUGAAAAUCCAUGAUCGUAUUAAGAUAAACGAGAGCGAAAGCAUUUCACUCAAUUAUGUUCA